rnacentral:rRNA from 1 species
AUGAAGCAAAUCGAGAUGCAGGGCCGCACACCGCCGACUCCUCCUAUCCCGACCCCGACCUUUCUCUCCUUUCUCCCAAUCUGGUCGGUUGGACGAAUCCUGCUAGGCAACACCGGCGACCACAACCUCGAGCAGACCAGUGGUCCGCCUCAAGUCACCUCACCGCCGGCCUCCGCCCCUAUCCUCUGCCCCAAAGCAAUCGACCUCGUCUGCCACCCUCUCCUCCCCGCCUCAUCGGAAGAGAAGAGAACAGGGAGAUCGACCAGGUCAGGCGCCGGUCAUGGCGGCGACCAGAUCCGCCACGGCCGUAGCCACCUCUCUAAGGCUCCGAUCUUGGCUGCCAUGGAGGUCAGAACAACAUGCCGAGACAGGAUCUAA